rnacentral:rRNA from 1 species
CACCAGCACCUCGAGUGGUCCGGAGGUUUAUUGGGCCUAAAGCAUCCGUAGCCGGUUGCAUAAGUUUUCGGUUAAAUCUAUGCGCUCAACGUAUAGGCCGCCGAAAAUACUGUGCAGCUAGGGAGUGGGAGAGGUACACGGUACUCGAUAGGAAGGGGUAAAAUCCUUUGAUCUAUUGAUGACCACCUGUGGCGAAGGCGGUGUACCAGAACACGUUCGACGGUGAGGGAUGAAAGCUGGGGGAGCAAACCGG